ensembl:lncRNA
CUGGAAGUGGGAGCGCUGAGCUCUGCUGGUGGCGGUUGGUGUGGAUGGGAGUUGUUGGAGCAUCUUCAGGGCUGUCCCGGGAUGGGCUGUGGGGCGGUGGGUCCAGGAGCUGUGGGGCUGUGGGUCGAGGAGCUGUGGGUCAAGGAGCUGCACACGGAGCUGCGGGUCCAGAAGCUGUGGGGCUGUGGGUCGAGGAGCUGCACACAGCUGUGGGUCCUUGGAUCUCAGUGCUGCUCAGAGCUGUGGGGCUGUGGGUCUGGAGCUGCACACAGCUGUGGGUCAGGAGCUGCGCUCUGCCCCACUCCGCUCCCAUCCCCACCCCGUGCAGAACCCCCCCCGCUCCGUUCCCCCCCCACAUAACAAAGCGCUUCCCCACAGCCCCCCCACUUCAAACCAAAGGGGCAUCGACUGCCCCCCGCUCUGCCCUGCGGCACCGCGGGGCACCCCGUGUGGCACCUCUGUCUGUGUCACCCCACAUGUCACCUCCUGGGUCAUCUCCAGCUGUGUGUCACCUCCUGUGUCACCCGUGUGUCACCCCAGCCCCCAGCUCCGUGUCACCCCACAUGUCACCCUGCGUGUCACCCCCAGCUGUAUGUCACCCCACAUGUCACUUCAUGUGUCACCCCCAGCUCUGUGUCACCCCACAUGUCACCCUGUCUCUGUGUCACCCCACAUGUCACCCUGUGUGUCACCCCACAUGUCACCCCCAGCUCUGUGUCACCCCACAUGUCACCCCGUGUGUCACCCCCGGCUGUACGUCCCCCCAUGUGUCACCCUACACGUCAGCCCAUCCCGCCCCGUCACCUGUGUCACCCCGUGUGUGACCCCCAUCCUGCGCCGUCCCCCCCUGUGUGUGUGUGUGCCGCCCCAUCCCGUGUGUCCCCCAUUUGUCACCCCGUCUGUCUGUCCGUGCGCUGUGUGUCACCCCGUGGGUCACCUCACCCCACACUGCGUGUCACCCCACGUCACCCUGUGUGUCACCCCAUGUGUGUCUGUGUGACACCCCCAUUCCCAGCGUGUGUCCCCCCGUCUCCUGCUGUGUGCCACCCCACGUGUCACGGUGUGGCACCUCAUCCCCCGCUGCGUGUCACCCCGUGUGUCCCCCACAUGUCACCCCGUCCCCUCUGUCUGUCCCCUCAUCUGUCACCCCACACCCCCCCCCUCCUGUCAGUCACCCCCCCACGUCCCAAUGUGACCCCUCCCAUCCACAGAGCGGAUCUGAGCGUGCAAAAGGAGAACCC